rnacentral:rRNA from 1 species
GAUUUCUGGUAUGGCGCACUUGGCCCGCCGAGGUUACUCGGUUGUGUGCCGGUGUGCGCCUGCCAUCCUUCUGGGGAACGGCUCUACCCUUCACUGGGUGGGAGUCGGUAUCCAGAUCUUUUACUUUGAAAAAAUUAGAGUGUUUAAAGCAGGCUUACGCUAUGAAUACAUUAGCAUGGAAUAAUAAUUUAGGACUUUGGUCUUAUUUUGUUGGUUUCUAGGACUAAAGUAAUGAUUGAUAGGGAUAGUUGGGGGUGCUAGUAUUCAGCGGCCAGAGGUGAAAUUCUUGGAUUCGCUGAAGACUAACUUAUGCGAAAGCAUU